ensembl:lncRNA
UCUAAGCUGCUCUCACCAUUUUGGAGUGAUUUAAUAGUAUUCCAAAUGUAACUUUAAAUCAGAAAGGCUACUUCUGACUUAGAGGCUUGUCUGGGAGCCCACUGCAUGCAUAUUAAACAAAUUCUGCUGAAGGUCAUAGAUGAUAAAACUAAAAGGACAAUAUGAGAAGAAUAAGGAUCAAACCAAAUCAAAAUAGUUGUAUCUUUGUAAGCAGGCAUGUUCUGUGGUGCACUUUAGAGCUCUGGAAAUAGGCAUGAGCCUUGGUUUCCUCCUGACCUUGUAGGGGCUGCAACCGUUCCACUGUAGUCUGAAGAGAAACCAGAGGGUGAGAAGCAUAAGAAGCACUCCUGUGUGUACCUCAUAUAGGGCAACCAAGGCAUUACGACUGCAAGAAGACCCCAGGAAUGAAGACUGCAGAGCACACCUGCUUCAGAGGUAAUGCUCUGGAUGUGGUCUGCUUCAGGCAUGUGUAUUGGCUGUUUGGCAUGAGAUUGCUAAGGAAGCACAAGUUGGCACUGAUGCUGAAAGGCAGCACCCUGCUCUCACCUUGCCAUGGGCAGAUUAUUCUUCAGCCUCUGUCUACCAAUUUCUUACACCAUACAAAGAACAAGAGUGAGGAAAUGGCUUGACUUAAACAACUAACCCAGAAAAGAAACAAAACUUAACCUGGAGCAGCUUAUCCAUCUGACGGAGUGGAAGCACGGAACAGCACCAGCCACAGGCUCAGUGGCAGUGCUGGCAUCUGCUUAUCCAAAGUGAGUGUACAUCACUCACUCCAGAGGCAGCAGAAUGCGUACCUCCCUAUUUCCUUCCCUUGGAACUGCAUCUAAAUCUUCUAAAUGGGAGCUGAGUAAUUCAAAAAAAGUAACUUUCUGAGUCUGCAAACCAGGAAACGAUGAAGAAACAUGAACUGUCUUGAGUCACUGUAGUGAUGGACUACACUGCAUUGUUUGAAACCCAACAGUACUGCUACUACUGAUAGUUCACAUGAACUGUUUCAGAACCGAUCUGCAAAUUUCUCUCAAUCCAAUGCACCAGUCAGAUAACUGAAUGUACACAAAGUUUUUCUUGAUAACUUUUCUUGAUAUUUUCCUUGAUAAAAAGCAUGACAAUAACAUAAUGUGAAGUCUGAGAACCACAGGAAGUUACAUAACUCUGCCAGCAAAUUUUGAGGAAGGGAGAAGGUGGAGCAACAGGGAAAUUGGAAGAUAAAGAUCCCUGCUAUUCUGUAAAUGCGUCUGUAGAAAAGAAAAAAAAAAUCCUCGAAAAGUAUGAUAUUCCUCUCCUUUUAAGUUCUCUCCCACCCUAUAACCAUUUCUUAAUACUACACCUGUUCUUUACCAAUGCCUCUUCAGAACAAAUCACCUCCUCCUGCUCUCCAGACACCCCUGUCCCUCCUGCAGCCUGUUCCCCUCAUGGGGAUCUCCUGUCUGCAUCCUCCCAGGCUCCCUGUGAGCUCCCAUCCCCACAAUGUUCCACCCAGCUCUAGUGUGUCUCCUUUUCUCUCCCUCUGAACCACCUACAGGCAACCACAGUCCUCCCUGACUUUCUCAAGUCCCCAUGUCUCCUCUACCCCUGAGCUCCUCUCCCACACGAUCCCACUGGGUUGGAGUACCCAUAGGGUGCUCCAAGGUGGUGAUGCAAAAUAGCCGGGCCUGCCCAGGUAACCUCACAGUUUCCUUACCUGCACACUCCAUUGCCUUUCCUCCUUUUGAAGGUAAGACAAGCUGAAAAGUGCAGAAAGAAGGUAGGAAGCAGAUGUAACUGCCCCACAGAGUUAAGCUUAGUACAUGUCCUCACAUCCUGAAACACAAACCAACAGAGUAUAGCCAUGUUCUUGGCAAAUCUUUCUGUAAACCUCCUAUUUUUGUCAAAAGAAGUGUGACAGGGAGAUUAAAAAAAAUAGUGAAUAAAAUUACCUCUGCUGCAAAGACUCA